GACGAACGCUGGCGGCGUGCUUAACACAUGCAAGUCGAACGGAAAGGCCCUGCUUUUGUGGGGUGCUCGAGUGGCGAACGGGUGAGUAACACGUGAGUAACCUGCCCUUGACUUUGGGAUAACUUCAGGAAACUGGGGCUAAUACCGGAUAGGAGCUCCUGCUGCAUGGUGGGGGUUGGAAAGUUUCGGCGGUUGGGGAUGGACUCGCGGCUUAUCAGCUUGUUGGUGGGGUAGUGGCUUACCAAGGCUUUGACGGGUAGCCGGCCUGAGAGGGUGACCGGCCACAUUGGGACUGAGAUACGGCCCAGACUCCUACGGGAGGCAGCAGUGGGGAAUAUUGCACAAUGGGCGGAAGCCUGAUGCAGCAACGCCGCGUGCGGGAUGACGGUCUUCGGGUUGUAAACCGCUUUCGCCUGUGACGAAGCGUGAGUGACGGUAAUGGGUAAAGAAGCACCGGCUAACUACGUG
rnacentral:rRNA from 1 species